rnacentral:rRNA from 1 species
AAACCUGCCCCGAAGACUGGAAUAACCCGAGGAAACUCGGGCUAAUACCGGAUAUCCCCACCAGGUCGCAUGGCCAGGUGAGGAAAUGCUCAGGCGCUUCGGGAGGGUCUCGCGGCCUAUCAGCUAGUUGGUGAGGUAACGGCUCACCAAGGCAACGACGGGUAGCUGGUCUGAGAGGACGAUCAGCCACACUGGGACUGAGACACGGCCCAGACUCCUACGGGAGGCAGCAGUGGGGAAUCUUGCGCAAUGGGCGAAAGCCUGACGCACCCACGCCGCGUGAGGGAUGAAGGCUUUCGGGUUGUAAACCUCUUCCAGCAGGGACGAAAAUGACGGUACCUGCAGAAGAAGCUCCGGCCAACUACGUGCCAGCAGCCGCGGUAACACGUAGGGAGCAAGCGUUGUCCGGAUUUAUUGGGCGUAAAGAGCUCGUAGGCGGUUCGGUAAGUCGGGUGUGAAAACUUGAGGCUCAACCUCAAGAGGCCACUCGAUACUGCUGUGACUGGAGUCCGGUAGAGGAGUGUGGAAUUCCUGGUGUAGCGGUGAAAUGCGCAUAUAUCAGGAGGAACACCGACGCGAAGGCAGCACUCUGGGCCGGUACUGACGCUGAGGAGCGAAAGCAUGGGGAGCGAACAGGAUUAGAUACCCUGGUAGUCCAUGCCGUAAACGUUGGGCACUAGGUGUGGGGU